rnacentral:misc_RNA from 1 species
UAAUAAGUGUUUUAUGGCACUUUUUAAAUCCAUAUCCCACCUUGUGUGCAAUGUCAGUCGAUCUUCUUCAUGGAGAUCGACCAAACAUCAACCUUUAUCUUUUAACUCUUUGUCUGAAAAAUAUUAUGAAUAAACAAUUCAAAAAUA